rnacentral:rRNA from 1 species
GAUGAACGCUGGCGGCGUGCCUAAUACAUGCAAGUCGAGCGAACAGACGAGGAGCUUGCUCCUUUGACGUUAGCGGCGGACGGGUGAGUAACACGUAGGUAACCUACCUAUAAGACUGGGAUAACUUCGGGAAACCGGAGCUAAUACCGGAUAAUAUUUCGAACCGCAUGGGUCGAUAGUGAAAGAUGGCUUUGCUAUCACUUAUAGAUGGACCUGCGCCGUAUUAGCUAGUUGGUAAGGUAACGGCUUACCAAGGCAACGAUGCGUAGCCGACCUGAGAGGGUGAUCGGCCACACUGGAACUGAGACACGGUCCAGACUCCUACGGGAGGCAGCAGUAGGGAAUCUUCCGCAAUGGGCGAAAGCCUGACGGAGCAACGCCGCGUGAGUGAUGAAGGUCUUCGGAUCGUAAAACUCUGUUAUUAGGGAAGAACAAACGUGUAAGUAACUGUGCACGUCUUGACGGUACCUAAUCAGAAAGCCACGGCUAACUACGUG